AGAGUUUGAUCAUGGCUCAGGAUGAGCGCUGGCGGCGUGCCUAAUACAUGCAAGUCGAGCGGUAAGGCCCUUCGGGGGUACACGAGCGGCGGACGGCUGAGUAACACGUAGGAACGUACCCCAAAGUGAGGGAUAACUGCUCGAAAGAGUAGCUAAUACCGCAUGUGAUCCACGGAUUAAAGCCUUCGGGCGCUAUGGGAACGGCCUGCGUAUGAUUAGUUAGUUGGUGAGGUAAUGGCUCACCAAGACGAUGAUCAUUAGCUGGUCUGAGAGGAUGAUCAGCCAGACUGGGACUGAGAACGGCCCAGACUCCUACGGGAGGCAGCAGUAGGGAAUUUUCCACAAUGGACGAAAGUCUGAUGGAGCAACGCCGCGUGCAGGAUGAAUGCCUUAGGGUUGUAAACUGCUUUUAUUAGUGACGAUUAUGACGGUAACUAAUGAAUAAGGACCUGCUAACUACGUGCCAGCAGCCGCGGUCAUACGUAGGGUCCAAGCGUUAUCCGGAAUUACUGGGCGUAAAGAGUUGCGUAGGUGGCAUAGUAAGUAGAUAGUGAAAGCGUGUGGCUCAACCAUACAUCCAUUAUCUAAACUGCUAAGCUAGAGGACGAGAGAGGUAGAUGGAAUUCCUGAUGUAGGGGUAAUAUCCGUAGAUAUCAGGAGGAACACCGAUGGCGUAAGCAGUCUACUGGCUCGUUCCUGACACUAAGGCACGAAAGCGUGGGGAGCAAACAGGAUUAGAUACCCUAGUAGUCC
rnacentral:rRNA from 1 species